rnacentral:rRNA from 1 species
GAACGCUGGCGGCAUGCCUAAGACAUGCAAGUCGUACGAAGUGGUCCUUAGAAGCAGAGUGCUUGCACAAAGCGGACAAGGGUUGCCACUUAGUGGCGCAAGGGUGAGUAACACGUGGGUAAUCUGCCUUGAAGACUGGGAUAACAAUUGGAAACGAUUGCUAAUACCGGAUGAGAUAUAAAGUGAUACGUUGCUUUAUAGUAAAAGGAGCCUUUAAAGCUUCACUUCAAGAUGAGCCUGCGGCGCAUUAGCUAGUUGGUGGGGUAACGGCCCACCAAACCGACGAUCGGUAGCCGAACUGAGAGGUUGAACGGCCACAUUGGAACUGAGAUACGGUCCAGACUCCUACGGGAGGCAGCAGUGGGGAAUAUUGGGCAAUGGGCGAAAGCCUGACCCAGCGACGCCGCGUGAGGGAAGAAGGUCUUCGGAUUGUAAACCUCUGUCCUAAGAGAAGAGGGGAAGACGGUAUCUUAGGAGGAAGCCCCGGCUAACUACGUG